rnacentral:tRNA from 1 species
GGAGAGCUGGCCGAGCGGCCGAUGGCGCACGCCUGGAAAGUGUGUAUACGGCAACGUAUCGGGGGUUCGAAUCCCCCGCUCUCCGCCA